rnacentral:ncRNA from 1 species
GGUCAUGAGUACCAGCGUCAAGCCCCGGCUCGCUGGUCGGCAACCCUCCUCCGCGGUGGGGUGCUCCGGGUGACGACCUGGCCACGCACCGGAAUCUCCCGAGUGCGGCAAGUGCGGAUU